UGCAUUGAGUGCAGUUGGUGCAAAGAUGUGCGUCUGCUCUACACAGGAAAAAAAGAAAAAGAAAAAAAUUCCAUCUGUCUGUAUUUGAAAUCAGCUCGCCAGCCUGUAGUUGGUCGAACCCCACCCAGAUGGUGCUGCGCAAAUGUAUGUUAAAAGAUAUCUUAUAUUAGUGUUGUGGGUGUCCAAUUUUUUUUGAAUGCCAUUUAGCCAAUGUGCCCAACCUGCUGCACAGAGAAAUCGUGACAAAAUAAAGAUAUGCUGAAGAGUUUCUAUUUCAAGGGCCAGAUCCUGCAAACAGUUCUGGAUGGCAAAUAACUCAAGCUAUGAUUGUUCUGUGUUAACAGUGGGCAUACAACAAUCAUUACCAUACCAGAGCCAACUUUUGCCCCAGCUACCACAUACUGUCAUGGCCUACAUUUGUCAACUGGCGUUUGCUUUGCACAUGAAAACGCAUGUUGAAGUCUCUAAUGAGCUGCUGAUGGAUUCACUAGCACUCUCUCCAAAAACAGAAUAUCACCCCUUUGGAGGUUUAAUGAAAUCAUAACUUUUUAAAUGAAAGAACAAAGAAACGAGAAGACUGCGGUAAGUAACAGCAGGUGCUUUUAUUUAACAGUGUAUUAUGAAAAAAGGCAAAUAUGCCUCUGUUUAGGUAACACACAAAGAUUUCAAAACACAUGAUGAAACAGACAGUUUUUAGACUGACGCCUUAUAGAAUUACAGAAAUGUUAGGACUUGAAAGGAUCUUCAGAGGUCAUCUAGGCCAGCCUUCUGUGCUGAGGCAGGACCAAGUAU
rnacentral:lncRNA from 1 species